UCGGACAGGGAGGCCAUCCUCAGCUUCAUACGGUCUGAGCGUCUGUACGGCCCCCACGACUGCGGCAACAACUACCGCUCCGUCUGCUGGGAGGCGGUGCGCCGAACGGACAGGUACUAGAGGACCCGUUUGAGCCCCAGCUACUCCUCCAACCGUUCGAGUGGCAAGGACAGCAUCCGGAAGAACUACGCCAGGUCCUUCGACCGCGCCUACUACGUGGGUGGGAAGGUCUAGGACCGGUCGAGCGGCUCCAACUCCGGGGUAGGAAAAAGGCACGAGAACCGGAACUACUACAAGUACGGGACCCGCAUCGACGUCUAGAACCUCCGCAUGUCCCGAAAGGAGUGUAGGAGCUAGUCGACACGGAACAGUUGUCAAAGCGGCGACGACAUCAGUGGGACCUUCUAGAACCUUCGUCGGUGGGAGAGCAGGAACUCGGGCGACUCCUUGGACCUCAGGUUCCUGCGGAGUUACCAUCCUCGUCGGUGUCUCUCGAGUCGUCGAACGACGUGACAGGUGAAGGGCCAAGGGAAGUAGGGCCAGAACAGGUCCUGGAACAGCUGGUUCAUCGGAAGUGGGACCAGUAGGAACUACGACUUAUAUAGUCGUCACUAGAGGUGGUUCUUUGACUCCUCGAGUGGGAACAAGGUGAGCCGCUUUUGGACGACGUCGAGUGGCAAACACUCGAACGGUUGGCUGAACUCUUGCAG
rnacentral:rRNA from 1 species